CAAAGCGAGUUUGAUUUUGGGUCUAAAGUGCUACUCACAGAUGUCUGUGCUGGGAAGAGAAGGCAGAGGGGCGGGGUGGGAAAUGGCAGCACCAUUCAACAGGCAAGUGUGAGAUGAUGCCUUGGGGGAGAGUAAAUAUUCUUUCUGGUUUUUCUCUUUCUUUCUCAUUCCAGAAAGACCAAGACCAGAAUGUCUACCAAUGUCACCUUGCCAGAGACACUGAAAGAACUCAAGAGGGGAUGUAGGUGCCUAUGGGUAGGUGGCAGCCAGCUCUACUUUCCAGGCAAAGGAGUCUACUCAGCCUUUGGGUCUCCAAGGCCUAGGCUCCCAAGGAACAGUUGAGGAAACCAACAACGUGAGAGAAGAAAAUCAAAAGUAAUAUCCAUUUGAAACUGUUUUGAAACUUCUGAUCGUCUCUGCCUCCUUACCAAGAAGCAUAAUCACGAUUACUUACAGUCACUAAGUGUCACAGUUGCUUCUGUUUGCCGUGUCACGCGUUCUCAGGACGACACCUCAAGACAUACAGUCACAGCUCGGAUGAAUGACGGGUCCAAAAUUGGACCGAAGAACGUAUCUGGCCUCCAAGCUCCAAGUCUCUACGAGCUGCAGGCACACUUUUGCAUUAUCUCUAGAUGAUCAUGCUUGAAGGAUUGAAGGUCGCCUCUUAACAGAGGAGAGGACACUGCUCCCAAGAGGUGGCUCCGCAAGACCAGGAAGCAGCUCCGGGAUCUCUUGUCAGCCUGGAUCUCCCAGGUCACUGUAUUAGUGUUUCUUUGUAUUCUGAUGCUUUUCCUCCUGGGGCCUUGCCAACCUGGAGGCACCGUCCCUCCACAGGGCUGGCCGAUUGCUGGCGAUAGUAAAUGAUUCACCUGUAAGCAUACUGUCUGUGUGUAAGCCAAUCAAUACGGAGCCCAUCCCCAACCACCCACUUUACUGGGCUGUCACACUCCAGGCCACUGUCUGCCUGCUCUUAUCCCCCUGGGAUCAAGAAUCAAAUGACCAGAGACAGCCCCUACCCCCCCAGAGCCCACCAAAGUUAUUCCACCUAGCCCAUCCUCUGCCUGUUUACUCUGCUUGAUGUGCUCCUUCCUCUGGAAACCACAAUAAAGGACUCUUGCCCGGG